rnacentral:rRNA from 1 species
AAUAGCGGUAUCUCUUGACGUUAGCAACAGAAGAAGCACCGGCUAACUCCGUGCCAGCAGCCGCGGUAAUACGGAGGGUGCGAGCGUUAAUCGGAAUUACUGGGCGUAAAGCGCAUGCAGGUGGUUCAUUAAGUCAGAUGUGAAAGCCCGGGGCUCAACCUCGGAACUGCAUUUGAAACUGGUGAACUAGAGUGCUGUAGAGGGGGGUAGAAUUUCAGGUGUAGCGGUGAAAUGCGUAGAGAUCUGAAGGAAUACCAGUGGCGAAGGCGGCCCCCUGGACAGACACUGACACUCAGAUGCGAAAGCGUGGGGAGCAAACAGGAUUAGAUACCCUGGUAGUCCACGCCGUAAACGAUGUCUACUUGGAGGUUGUGGCCUUGAGCCGUGGCUUUCGGAGCUAACGCGUUAAGUAGACCGCCUGGGGAGUACGGUCGCAAGAUUAAAACUCAAAUGAAUUGACGGGGGCCCGCACAAGCGGUGGAGCAUGUGGUUUAAUUCGAUGCAACGCGAAGAACCUUACCUACUCUUGACAUCCAGAGAAGCCAGCGGAGACGCAGGUGUGCCUUCGGGAGCUCUGAGACAGGUGCUGCAUGGCUGUCCUCAGCUCGUGUUG